GAUGAACGCUGGCGGCGUGCCUAAUACAUGCAAGUCGAGCGAACAGACGAGGAGCUUGCUCCUCUGACGUUAGCGGCGGACGGGUGAGUAACACGUGGAUAACCUACCUAUAAGACUGGGAUAACUUCGGGAAACCAGAGCUAAUACCGGAUAAUAUAUUGAACCGCAUGGUUCAAUAGUGAAAGACGGUUUUGCUGUCACUUAUAGCUGGAUCCGCGCCGCAUUAGCUAGUUGGUAAGGUAACGGCUUACCAAGGCGACGAUGCGUAGCCGACCUGAGAGGGGGAUCGGCCACACUGGAACUGAGACACGGUCCAGAAUCCUACGGGAGGCAGCAGUAGGGAAUCUUCCGCAAUGGGCGAAAGCCUGACGGAGCAACGCCGCGUGAGUGAUGAAGGUCUUCGGAUCGUAAAACGCUGUUAUUAGGGAAGAACAAAUGUGUAAGUAACUAUGCACGUCUGGACGGUACCUAAUCAGAAAGCCACGGCUAACUACGU
rnacentral:rRNA from 1 species